UCUCACCAAGUUUGGAUUCCGCACAAACUUGGUGAUUGUUUGAUAUCAUUGAAAGAUCCGAUCACGGGACUUACAAGUGGUAUCAGAGUCAAAGAACCUGUUUCUAGGCUCGUCGUGAUAUCAAAGAUUCAAGAUUUUGAAAUUUUUGUUAAAAAAAAAAAUCAUCAUCAUCAAGAACAUUCUUCGCGUUCUUCGUGUUCUUCGUAGCAUUCAUCAAAAUUUUAUCAAAAUCGUUAUAUUUUGGUAUUUUGAUCAUUUUGGAAAUUGUUGAAGGAUUGGGGAUAUUUAUUAUCUUUUAAAAAGGAUUUGAAAUUUUCGAAAAUAUUGUUGAGUUUGUUUGAAAAAUUAUCUGUUUCCAAAAUAAAAAAAAAAAGAAUUCAAAAGUUAUUCAAAAUAUAAAAAGUUUGCAGAUUACAAGUUCCUAUUUUUGGGUUUCGAGUCCUACUUUUGGUUUCGACUUCCAACCGGUUUCGAGUGGGAUUUCACAAAAUCUCCUCCACGGUCUCGAGUCCACCUUCUCCACCGGAAACUUCAGCUCUUAUCUUAGUUCUCGAGUCACCGUCUCGACUCGCAACCGCACUCAAGGUCUCGACUCACAUCUCUACAACCAGUCUCGAGUCAUCAGUUCACAGCGGUCUCGACUCCCAUCAACAUCUCAUUCCGGCUUCGCGAGUCGCAACCGUUCCGUCUCGAGUCAUCUCCAUCUUCAUCCACGAUCUCGAGUCGCAACCCGGAUUCCGAGUCGCAACCAUUGUCUUGACCAAGGUCUCGAGUUAAACUGUCAACGGUUCCGAGUAUUAUACAUCAACAUCUCCGGUCAUCCUCGCCGAUCUUCGACACCCUUCGGUUACGGUUCAACCACCUUCUCGCUCCACCUUCACAUCGAGGAUUGAUGAGUUCUGUUGGAUUCAAUAGCUUACCACAUUUUUCACACUGAUCUCCUCGUGCGGAAUCAUAAUUACAACCAGGUGUUGGACAGGUUCCCUCCACAAGCCGGUCAGCUGAAAACUUACUGCAUGUAUCACAGUUGCAUCGUAUUCUCAGAAAGCCAUUUAUUAUCCAGCAACUUAUUGAAAUCGUGAUCGGCAUUCAUACAAGUCAUCUUCUCCAUCACCGGUUUCGAGUCAUCUUCUCCAGUCACCACUCUUCAACCGUCGUCUCCUCCAUUCUCCGUCAACACAUCUCUGCAUCCACCGUUCCAACUCGCGAUCAUCUCAACCGUUCAUCGAGUAUCACCUGUUAGAAAUAACCCGUUGAUGUGGCCUUAAGGAUCAUUUGGUAACAUUACCAAUAUGACAUAACUAGUCCCCGACAAUUACUUGAUGGUAGUAUUUGUAAUUAUUGAUUAGUAUUAAGGGGCAAUUAUGAUUUCCCUUUAGGUACCAUUAAUAGAGAAAACAUAGAGUUUUAUAACGGAUCACCAUUCAUGAUCAUUAUUUAUUGAUCUUUAUAUAUUGGUGAUAAGUGGUGAUCAAAACUCUCUAGAAGAACACCAUGAACAAUUCUCUCUAGUGUGAUCCAUCAACACAAGGUACCAUAACGGGAAUCAUGACUUCAUCUUUAUCCUCAAAGAUAAUCAUCCCUACAAAACUUGAUUUCAAUCAAGAACAGGGAUUGAUGAAGACUGAGAUGCUGUUAGCUGCUGAAGAAGCCUAAAGCAUCACAACAACAAGAUGUACCUGAGUCAGAAGAACCGGAUACGAGACGUCGUCUGAUAAUGAAAGUGCAUUUGAAAAAGUACCGUGAACCUGCUUGAAAGACAAAGACUGAAGAAGAAAAGAGCUGCUGAGAAUCCUCCUCUCACAUUCUUUUUGACAAGAUUUUCAAGCAAAUGCUGAUCGAGAUCCUGAUAUGAAGCUAACCACAAGAGCUGAAGAAAGAGACCCAGUGCUGAGAGUUCAGAAGUCAAGAACUUCCACAACAUCUGCAGCAUAGUGACAACCAUAGAUUUCGUUGAAGACGUUGCUGAAUUCAAGUCAUGAAGACAAUUUGAUGGCAUCAGUCUAGGGGGAGAUUGUUAGGCCCUAAAGUGUGAGACUGACGCAUCAAAUUAACACAAUGGGCUAUGGUUACGAACUGGGCUUUACCGGGUUAGUUAAUAUUAGGUUUUGGACCUUUAUAGGUCACUUGGGCUAGCUUUAGGCCAUGUGGGCCAAGCAAGCCCAAUGGGAGCCCAUGUAGGGAAGUGGGCUUGCCUAGGUAUAUAAACAAGUUUACAACUUGUUUUAGGGUUUGAUCUUGAUGGUUACAAAAUUCCUCUAGAGAGAGAGAGGCGAUUGGUGGAGUAGGAACUUGUACCAGACGGUUUUGCUAGUUGAUAGUAAUAGAAUCGUGUGCAAGUUUUAAAGUGAUUCCGGUUUGUUCUUCGUUGUUCAUAUUUCUUGUUGGUU
rnacentral:lncRNA from 1 species